rnacentral:rRNA from 1 species
GUGGGGAAUAUUGGACAAUGGGCGAAAGCCUGAUCCAGCCAUGCCGCGUGUGUGAAGAAGGUCUUCGGAUUGUAAAGCACUUUAAGUUGGGAGGAAGGGCAGUAAGUUAAUACCUUGCUGUUUUGACGUUACGGACAGAAUAAGCACCUGCUAACUUCGUGCCAGCAGCCGCGGUAAUACGAAGGGUGCAAGCGUUAAUCGGAAUUACUGGGCGUAAAGCGCGCGUAGGUGGUGUUGUAAGUUGGAGGUGAAAUCCCCGGGGUCAACCUGGGAACUGCCUCCAAAACUGCAUGACUAGAGUACGGUAGAGAGUAGUGGAAUUUCCUGUGUAGCGGUGAAAUGCGUAGAUAUAGGAAGGAACACCAGUGGCGAAGGCGACUACCUGGACUGAUACUGACACUGAGGUGCGAAAGCGUGGGGAGCAAACAGGAUUAGAAACCCCGGUAGUCC